CUCGUAGGUGGUUCGAUACGUCGGAUGUGAAAAUCUGGGGCUCAACCCCAGACCUGCAUCCGAUACGGUCGAGCUAGAGUUUGGUAGGGGAGACUGGAAUUCCUGGUGUAGCGGUGGAAUGCGCAGAUAUCAGGAGGAACACCAAUGGCGAAGGCAGGUCUCUGGGCCAAUACUGACACUGAGGAGCGAAAGCGUGGGGAGCGAACA
rnacentral:rRNA from 1 species